AGUGAAGGUGCUGGUGGAUGCUUGAUGGAAGACUGAUUGCAGCUCAUCAGUUAUGUGCUCUAUGGUCUGCUGCGAUUUGGGGUUGGAUGAGGGUUCUGUCCCCCCACUGGCCUAAUGGCUAUGGUUGCUGUCUGCUGUGGUCCUACUAUGGUUAUUGGACUGUGGAGUGUCCCUAGAGGGCACACGGUUAUCAGUACGCGCAGAAUCCCAGGGGCGUUGGAUGCUGGGCACAGAUGACUGGGUGUUCAGUGGAGUUCUGGGAGAUACUGGAGGAUGAUUACGAGCAUGAGCUUUUGAAGAAUUAGGAGAAGCAGACUGCGAGCGUCUUGAUACGUGUUCGGAAUUGGGAGUUGGAGUAUUGGGAGUGAUGACCACAGUUGUUUUCCUCUGGUUAGCAGAGGUUGUGAUAGGCUCUGGCGGGAUAUUGUUCCUGGCGCUUUGGGGAGGAGGGACACUGUGUGCCUGGUUGGACCGUGGUACUUCGGGGAUCGUGGCAGUUGGAGUAAUGGGGGUGGCGACCGCAGUUGUGUUCCUCCGGUUGCCAGAGGUUGUGAUAGAAGCCGGCGGGAUAUUGUUCCAGGUGCUUUGGCGAGAACGGAAACUGUGUGCCUGACUCGUCCCGAAGACUUCGGGGAUUGUGCGAACUCUGUUACCGUUGAGAAUUGAGUUCCAAUCAGGAUAUAUGUCCUCGACUACCCUUCCAUCCAUAACUAUUUUUGCAGGGAAGACUAGUGCAAUUUUGCUGCGUAGAUUACUUUCACGGAGUUUUUUGUAUUUUGGCCAGAGCGUUUUCCGAGCUUGUGAGAUUUCUUUAGGGUAGUCUCGGUUUAUGCUGAAGUUUGACCCUGCUAAGUGUUUUGCAUGAGAGAGAACAUCUACUGUGUCUUGAAAGUUCAGGAAGUUCACAAUGAUACCCCUACUGUUGCUUGGAGAGAAUCUUCCAAGGCGGUGGGCUCGCUGGAUUAUUGGACGGUGCGUUAUCUGGAGCUGUUCGUCAAGAAAUUGACCUAUGACAUCAAAACAGUUUUCAUUUCUUUGUUCACCUAUUCCACCAAAUAUGAGGUUAUUUCUUCGGCUCCUUGCCUCGAUGUCAAUGGAUUUGUACUCAAGCAGUUUUAAGCGCUGGUCGUGUUCGGAUAGUGAGCCUUCUAUUGAUGUCAAUUUUGUAUGCAUCUUUAAACAUUCAUCAACCUUGUGAUCGAAAUUCUUCAUUUGUUUAAAUAUUUCUGUCACUUUUCCAUCAAGAGAUAAUUGCUCAAAGUCA